rnacentral:lncRNA from 1 species
GUACACAUGCAUGGGAAACUUUAGAGAUGGGAAGGUUAGGAUGAGUCUUACAGGAACCCACAUCGUUUCACUUCAAAAUAUGCCCAGGCUCAAUAGAUUCCAAGCAAACUUAAGAGUUACAAGAUAAGAAACCAUUUCAUUUUUGCUGCUAACAUUUUGCUUAGUGUUCAAGCUCCCUUAUUCUCUACAAAAACCAGAUUCCUUGUGUAUAUUGGUUGCUAUAGCCAUUAAGCAGGUCUACCUGCUUUAUGGAACUGAGAGGCAGUAUAAAUAAUUAUUAUGAAAUAAGGAUAGUAAUUAUCAUGUAUUCAAUAUCUCCUUAAGCCCCCGUGACUUUAGUACUUGCGUGGACAUAUGAUCCAAUGUACCUUCUCCACUUUGUUCUUAUAUGAACUUUAGUCUCUUAAAUUGAUUAAAAACAAUUUGGGAUGCAGCAAGACAACAUGAACAGAAGUGCAUAAUUUGUGAUCGGCGACAAGUCUUAGGGAAGCUCUGUCUAAUCCCGAUGAGCACUUUGCAAAGGUGCUGUUAUUAAGAAGCAGAAGUCUCCUUCUCCUUCCCUAUUUCAAAUGUCAGAGUUGUGUGAAGUCCAGUUCUACGCAUUAGACUGCCUUUUGUCCUCUACAUGGCCACUCCGUCCUUUUCUUUUUCCAUGUGAAUCCUCAGAAUCUCUCUGCAUGCAGGCUCUCAGACAUCAUACUGAUAUUAACCUUUUAGCCAAAAUGACUGCUAUAAAAUGCACAUUCCAAUGUCACAUGAUUGAAAAACAGCAAUACUUAGGAGUGAAUUAUCUCUCAUUAAUUCACCUUUCAAUAUAACCUAGCGUUGUAUCUCAAGAUCUUGUCCAAUCCCCCAACCCAUCUAAGUCAUUCUCUGAGGCAAAGGUACGAACUCAUAAUUCCUACCCUUUACAUAAUCUGUCCUCAGACUGAGAUCUCUGCUUUUCAACUGAUGGUGUAGUGUUUAUUAUGCUAAUCUCAAGUAAGGUUGGUGCCUGCCUCAUCUAAUAUUCAUCCUGCAAGACAAAUCUAGACAUGAGAUUCUCCUAUCCUUCCCUUUCUCUCUCCUCCAUAUAAAUUCUUACCACCUUUCCUUCAUUGCCUAUUUUCUUCUGAAAAUCUCCAUGUCAUAAAGUGUUAUAUACAUCCUUUCAAAGCAUAUAGGUAUUUAGUUUCGCUCAAAUAAGCUAAUGCCACAUGUAAUCCGGGUGCUUCCAAUUAGUAUCAUUUUUUGAAUCAAUCACAUUGCAGAUUGCAUCUGAAAUUCAUUUUGAUUGCCAAAUUAUAUUUUACUGUAUGACUAUCCAGUGUGUUGUUUAUCUAUGUGUCAUUUACAUGGAUAUUCAUGUCAUUUUAACUGUUGGAUUUCACAGAUAUAGUUUUUGUUCACACCAUUCCACACAUCUUUGCAUACACAUAUUGUCUCUCUCUUGGCUGUGUAAUUAGAGUUAAAAUUGCUUAAUCAUGUAGCAACCCUGUGUUUAAAUUUCUGAGCAGCUGCCAAUUCCUUCCACACUGGCUCUGCUAUUUUCCAAUGGUGGCAGCCGCGUGGCUUAUAUCUUCUUGAUUCUAGGCACCUUAACAAUUUCAAAAACAUAUGUCAUGUUUGUUUCACUGACAGAUAGUGAUAGGAUGUAUCUGUAUAUAUAGAUCCAUGUAGUAGCAUUCCAUGUCUUUCUAGAGAAUAAACAGCUGUUUAAAUCCCUUUCUCAUUAUGCAAUUGUAUUAACCAUCUUUUUAUUAUUGAAUUAUAAAAGUUCAUUAUGUAUUCUGGCUUCCAUAGGGACUCAUUUGAUUUGCAAAUAUUUUCUCUCAUUCUGUGAGAUGCCUCUAAAUUUUCCUGUUUCUUUAGAGGCAAACUGUUUUUAUUAUUAUUAUUAUUAUUAUUAUUAUUAUUAUUACUAUUAUGAUUAAGUCCAUCCUUUUCCUCCUUGGUUGCUUCUACUUUACUUGGCUGAUUUAAAAACUAUGGCCUAUUCUAGAUAAACUCAAAAAUACUCAUAUCUCUAUUUUAUUUGAAGAAAUUUUAUAGUUUUAGGUUUUUAUUUAGAUCUUUGAUUUAUUUCAAAUUGGUAUCUGUGUGUGAUGUGAGCGAGAACCUCAGCACAUUACCUUGCUGAUGGAUGUCCACAUUCUGGACUCUCAAUUGGAGUCUCUUUACAUUUGUGCCUACCCGUAUGUCAGUGUCACACAGUUUUGGUUAUUGUAACACUAGAAGAAGUUUUGAAGUGAGCAACUGGGAUUCUUUCACUGUGUUUAAAUUGUGUUUUGUAAGAAAGUAAUAGUAACAUUAUUUUGCAUUGUCUAUGAUCCCUUCAUGCUACAAGAAGCAGAGUUGAAUGCUUUUGACAGGGACUCUGAGUCUUUACAAUCUUAUAUGUUGGUUAGUUAUCCCUUGCCACUGGAUGUUUGCUCACCUGUGUUCUAAGUAAUGAGUGAAUUCUUCUACUGACUGUGGUGCCUACCCAUGGUGGACAUCUGUUUACUGAAUGAAUAAUGUAAUGACCAUGGUUUGCUUUAGUAACUCAGAUUCUUAGGUAUGGAAUUGAUGGCACAUCCUUCUAAACUUAUACAACGAGUCUAUAUUAAGCACAUACCAGAAAAUCCCAAAAUACCUGAAUAACCCAGAAAAAAAUCCAAUGAGAGAUUUACACAAUAAAAAUAUACAAACAGCCAACAACUAUGUAAAAUGCGCUGGCAGAAAUAGCUCAUUAAGUCCUAGUGUUAAAAGCAUAAGGACCUGGGUUUGAUCGCCAGCACCCAGCUUUGUGGUUAAGCCAUGCAUUGGCUAGUUAGAUAGCUGACAGAGUGAGAGGAGUUCUCGUGCCAUUACAAAGGCCAACAUUCAAACUCCAGAAUCCACACAAAAUGCCAUGCAUGGCUGUGUGCAUCUGCAAACCAAGCAGAGGUGGAGUAAAACUAGGUGGAACUCUGGGGUUUGCUGGCUUCCAGCUUAGGUCCAGGUCCAGGUUCAGUAAGAGGUUCUAUUUCAAAUGAAUAAGGUAAAGAGAAACAAAACAGGACAGCUAACAUUCUUCUCAGGCUUCUACACUCCAUGUGCUAUACCGGAAUAUAUUCUACACACAUAAAAACAUUUAGAAACACACAAGGUAGAAUAAACCAAGCAAAACAAUACAUAUGUACACAUAAAUAUAGAUGUUAUGUACACACACACACACACACACACACACACACACAUACACAUACACACUUGAAAGUGGCAAAGUAUGUUUCUAACCCUAGCAUUGGGGAGCCAGAGGUGGGGGAAAAAUUCCUAGAACUCACUGCCAAGCCUGCCUAGCCUGCUUGACAAACUCCAUGAAAGGGUGAAAUCUUGUCUCCAAAAACAAGAUUGGCAGUCUUUAAGAAAGGGUAACCAAAGCUGUCUUCUGGCCUCCACAUGCAGGUGCACACAUGUCAACCUGCACACCCAUGAACCUACACACAUGUACAUGUACAUUCUUAAGACGGUUAGUUCCUAUUGAAAACAACUAAGCAAAUAUCAGUGAACACUGCAAUUUAUAUUUCCUUUUGCCACAGCUAACAUGACCAGUCUCAGCCUGAAAACAAAAGCC